rnacentral:rRNA from 1 species
ACUCCUACGGGAGGCAGCAGUGGGGAAUAUUGCACAAUGGGCGCAAGCCUGAUGCAGCCAUGCCGCGUGUAUGAAGAAGGCCUUCGGGUUGUAAAGUACUUUCAGCAGUGAGGAAGGCGGGUACGUUAAUAGCGUGCUCGUUUGACGUUAGCUGCAGAAGAAGCACCGGCUAACUCCGUGCCAGCAGCCGCGGUAAUACGGAGGGUGCGAGCGUUAAUCGGAAUUACUGGGCGUAAAGCGCAUGCAGGUGGUUUGUUAAGUCAGAUGUGAAAGCCCGGGGCUCAACCUCGGAAUUGCAUUUGAAACUGGCAGACUAGAGUACUGUAGAGGGGGGUAGAAUUUCAGGUGUAGCGGUGAAAUGCGUAGAGAUCUGAAGGAAUACCGGUGGCGAAGGCGGCCCCCCUGGACAGAUACUGACACUCAGAUGCGAAAAGCGUGGGGAGCAAAACAGGAUUAGAUACCCUGGUAGGAUAGCG